rnacentral:misc_RNA from 1 species
AACGCAUAUUGCGCCUGCGCCUCGGCAAAGGCAUGUCUGCCUCAGCGUCGGUUUACCCCCUCCAAUCUCUCUCUUCUUUGCAGAGAAGAGAGACUUGGGAUGUGACCUUCCCUUUCCCUGGGUUGGUUGAAACGGAUGCCCGUGCCCACCAUCCAAACGAAGGCACAGAAAGGUAGGCCGCUUCACGAAAGCGGCACUGCCCCUGUGAUCUUCGGGUGGGUACUCGGGUGACACAGGAAUGCAUUCUCUUUACAAGAGAAUCCAAUCAAACAUCUGACCUGAGAUCAGGCAAGACCACCCGCUGAACUUAA